AGCGAACGUUAGCGGCAGGCCUAACACAUGCAAGUCGAGCGAGAAUAGGGCUUCGGCUCUUAGUAAAGCGGCGGACGGGUGCGUAACACGUAGAUAAUCUGCCCUCUAGCGGGGAACAACAGUCCGAAAGGAUUGCUAAUGCCGCAUGUCACUGCGGGGACUCAGGUCCCUGUUGGAAAAGGGGCCCGCAAGGGUCUCACUAGAGGAUGAGUCUGCGGCCCAUCAGCUUGUUGGCGGGGUAAUGGCCCACCAAGGCUAAGACGGGUAGCUGGUCUGAGAGGAUAACCAGCCACACUGGGACUGAGACACGGCCCAGACUCCUACGGGAGGCAGCAGUGGGGAAUAUUGGACAAUGGGCGCAGCCUGAUCCAGCCAUGCCGCGUGAGUGAUGAAGGUCUUCGGAUCGUAAAGCUCUGUGGGAAGGGAAGAAAAAGUAUACUCAUACGUAUGCUCUUGACGG
rnacentral:rRNA from 1 species